rnacentral:lncRNA from 1 species
UGAUCUUUGGAAAUCAAUCCAGGGAAACUCUUAGCAUGGGUUCUUACGUUGAAAAUGUGAGGCUUCUCAUGGUCUGGGGUUCAGGUGUUCUCAUCUGUCCAUAGAAUUCUUGAAGUCUUUGGUUGGUUGUUUUUCCUUUUUUUCUUUUUUCUUUUUUUUUUCUUUUUACCUUUACAACUCUUAUGGGAACCUUUCCUAACAUAAUGGUAAGUCUAUGUGAAGUUCUUUGUACAGCCAUGAAAGCCACAGGCAGAGGAUCCUAAUAGCAUUUGUUUUUCCUAGUCCAGUAUGUUGCACCCCAUGGCCUUGAAGCAAGAUAGCUUUACCAUCGAUGACAGGUUUGUUUGGGUUUAUAAAUACAUUACCAACAAGCUGCCAAGUAAAAUAAUACCUGGAUAUUUGAGGUUUCUCAGUUGAAAGUCACAGUUGUGGUGAAAUAGAAGUGUUAAUGCCUAGUUGUGAGUUUUCAGACAUUUAAGAGAAAUAUAACAUGCUAAUUACAUUGGACAUGCUAAAGCUGUAACAUGCUGAUGUGAUACCAGGAAUACAACGUUGACUAAUUAGUUGUCUUAAGUAAGGAUUGCUGCUAGAAUGUUGGUGUUUUCUGUGCCAAAUGAUAGCUUUGGUGGAGAGAAGUUGAAGCAAGUUUCAAACUUGGUUAAGCAGAAAAAAGAAGUACUGUUUUCUGUUAGCUUUGUGCAUUACAUUUUCGAGUUUCCUAUUUUAAUAAGGGUCUUUUCAUCAAUAUAAAGAGGGUGGAGAUGGUUCUACUUAACGGCUUUCUUCGUGAGAAUAUGGAAGAGUUUCAUGAGCUUGACACGUUCUGACAGGUUGGGUGCUUGAAAAUGUUAACUUGAAGUUCUAAUAUAAAGAAAAUGUUUGCCAAGUCUUCCAGAAAGACUCAGAAGUACGGCUUUUUCAGCCAUGUUUUCUCGGUCGCAAGAGAUUGUAGUUCAUUUAUAAGACUGAUAGUCAUAACACCAAGUGUUGGGGCCUUAAGAAGCAUCGAAAGGUGUUCUCCCAACUCACCCCACAUAUGUUUGGUUACAGCAGUGAUACUGGGUAAGCUUGUAAAAGAAAGGCUGUCGGUUGAUUUCCUUCUCUUAGUUUAUCAUGUUUUAGGGUGACCUUCUUCAGAAGUGGGAGAAAAAGCGUAUAACAUCUUAGAUGAACGUGGUCUUUUGGAGGGUGGAAAAAAGGUGAAAAGUAGAGAGAGUUUACUUAAGAAUUAUAUUUGAGUGUGUAUUUCUCUCAAAGAUGAGACGUUAGCAACUAGAGCAUACUUUAAGUGUUGCUUUUUAAAACUUUUGCCAUUACGUGGUACAGUGUACAGAGUUUUAAUGUUUCCAGUCUUUCUGAG